CAGGAUGUUUGGAGACAAAGCUUAUUUAUAGCUGCUGCGCAGGGUCUCGGCUGAGAGGAGGCUCCUGAGUGGUGCUGGAGGGGAGGGCUCAUGCCAGGGCUCUGGCUGAGAGUGCUGGAGAAGACGACAGCCAGUACUGUCCUCCCUGGAGAUGGGCAGCAUCAGCCUCUGCUAGGAGCAGCUGCCUGUCAGCUGGAAGAAGGGAGCUCCAGUCAGGUGCUGGCUGUGUGUGAGUGCAGCUGGGACAUCAGGACCUCUACAGAGAGGGCUGAAUUAGGACUUGCUGCUUGCAGGGUUGGUGUCCAAAGGGAUUGUCUGUGUUCUGCUCCCUGACUGGAGCCUAGCAGGUGCGCUGGGACUCUGCACCGUCUCACUGUGUGUGUGGCACAGGAGGGUCUAGGCGGUGCCUGCGAUGGGGCGUUUAUGAGGAUUCAGGCUCCUGCCAUGCACCCAACAGGGACCCCGGAUGGUGGCUUUUCUCGGUGUGCUGUGCAAACGCUUUCCCGCAGCCACUGCCGGAACAUCAAACAGAAGAUCUCUCAGUGGGAGGGGAGGACUAGAGGGGGCUGCAGCGAGGACAGGCAGCAGCCGAAGGACUUUGGGGUACAGUACGACCAUGGCUGUGAGGCUUUUCCAAAGGCCAAGCUACGGGACUGUGGGAAUGAUGGAAAGGCAGGUCUAGUAAACUCAGAAAGCUUGGGCUUGGACUUCAGGGAAAAGGGCAGGAACCAUUCUCAGAACGAGGCUGACAGCGAGAGAGAUGGUGAUUGUGGUACCUCAGAGAUCCUCAGGCCCAAAGUGCGCACGUGCUGCCCGAUUUCCCAGGCUGAGGAGAACGGAGACUGUCGGGGAGGCCUCCUGGACCCAGAGCAGACACUGCCACCAGGGAACUUCUACACCUCACGAGGGCUGUGGAAGAACAUAGAAGCUGUUCCUCCUGACAAGGUCCUAGCGAUGGCAUUGGAGCUGAAAAGGAAAAGAGAGCGCUGUGGCUUGACAGAGCGAGAACUGCAUGCUGGGGGAGUGGAGCCCCUCAAUGUGAGAGAGAGGAGUUUCGAAAACAUUUAUUCGGAGGCCGAGGGACAGGAGACAAGGCCUGCUGCCAUCCCUCCCCCAAAGCCCCGCAGGACUUUCCGCUAUCUGUCAGAAAGAGAUCAAACCAGCUGCAGUAGAGAAAAGCUACUGGAAGGCCAGUGUAAGGAUUCCCCAGCAGGCUCCUCCCACGAGCCCGAGCAGAGAGAGGCAAACAGGAAAAUCAGAGGGAGAUCCAAGAGGAAAUCCUUCGAGUUUGAAGACAUCCAGGGCUUCCGCAGUCGGAUGGCAGCCACCAGCUCCCAGAAGCUCCAUGAAGAGCUGAAUAGCAGCUCAGGAUCUAGACUCUACUACACACAGUCAGAGGACAACAUCUACGAGGACAUUGUCUAUCCUGCUAAGGAGAAUCUGUAUGAAGAUAUCAAAGUGUUGCCUUUACCACUGUGGAGGGUCCCAUCAGCCUGGAAGUUACCACCCCCAAAGAAUGCCUUCAAGCCUCCCAAGCUCCCUCCCAAGCCUGCCUUCCUCCAUCGAAAGACACUGGAGCUGAAAGCUGCCCGUGCAUGCCUGCGUGGGAAGGACACAACCCUGCCCGUUACGCUGACAGAGUGGAAGUUGUUCCGAGCAGGGGAGGCUGCUGGUAGGAAAAGGAAGAACCUUCCCCGGCUUGUGUUAAAAAUACAGGAGAUCUUUGAGUCUAAACGUGGGAAGAAGAGGGUGAAGUUACUCGCUUAUACAGGGAAAGAAGCUCCACCAGCAAAAGGUGAAACCAGCGGGAAUGAAAGUGAGACGGAGAAUCUGCCGAAAAGUCACCACAAACGCCUGCUGCAAGUACAGUUGACCUCCAAGAGGAACCCACACUAUCAGACCCUGGAGCGGGAUCUGAUUGAAUUCCAGGAGCAGCAGCUGUUUGAGCUUUUUGUGGUGGUGUCCCUGCAGAAGAAGCAGUCAGAGACGACGUACACCCCACAGGUCAUACAGCAGUUCCCCAGCAAGCCCGAGCAUCCCUUCAGGCAGUCAAAGGAUACCGAGGAGAGGCUAAAGGUCAUCCCCAAGUUCUGCUUUCCAGAUCCUAAAGCCUGGCUUCCAACAUCAGAGCUCAAAAGUGAAACCUUUUCCUUCGUGCUGACAGGCGAGGAUGGCAGCCGCUGGUUCGGUUACUGCAAGAAGCUCUUGCCAGAAGGGAAAGGGAAACGGCUCCCAGAGGUGUACUGCAUGGUGAGCCGCCUGGGCUGCUUCAACCUCUUCUCCAAGAUUCUGGAUGAGGUAGAGAAGAGACGAGAGAUGUCCCCAGCCUUGGUGCACCCGUUCAUGCGCAGUGUCAUGGAGGCCCCUUUCCCUGCUCCUGGACGCACAAUUACUGUGAAGAGCUUCCUGCCAGGAGCAGGAAAUGAGGUCAUUGAGCUCUGCCGUCCGUUGGAUUCCCGGCUGGAACACGUGGAUUUCGAGCGCUUGUUUAAGUGCCUUAGCGUCUGCCAUCUGAUCCGGGUGUGUGCCUCUCUCCUGCUGGAAAGGAGGGUGAUCUUUGUUGCGGACAAUCUGAGCACCUUGUCUAAAUGUGGCCAUGCUGUGGUAGCAACACUUUACCCCUUCACUUGGCAACACACCUACAUUCCUGUUCUACCAGCAUCCAUGAUCGAUAUUGUCUGCUCUCCAACCCCAUUCCUUAUUGGCAUUCUUUCUUGCUCCUUACCGCAGCUCCAGGACCUGCCCAUAGAAGAGGUACUGAUUGUUGAUCUUUGUGCUGACAGCUUUCUGCAACAGAGGGAGAUGGUACUGGCCUGCAAGUUCCAGAGUUUGGAUGGCAUACGUGACCCUCAAUCAACAUACUACUUACUUGGCUUAUGCUUAGGGCUGGCCCAGAUAUCUGUAAGUGCUUUCUCUAUGUGGAGUAAGAACAGUAGGCUUCUGUGUUGCUUUGAGCUCACUCUGGCCUUCUGUUCAAGGUAAGGCAGCUGAGAUUGAUGUGGAAUGAGAUGUUUGGGCGUUGUAAGGUUGGAAACUGAGGCAUGAGUCCACUCAAUUUAGGCUUAAUCAGUUUUUCCCUUUAUACAUUUUCAAACAGAAUAUUGUCAGUUCUAAUUUUUGAUCAUAUAUAUGUAUAAAAAACAGUCGACAGAAAAGACGGAACAGGUAGGAGCCCAAGCUACUGAUUUCCAGGGUAUCAGGGAGCUCUUCUACAUUUCAUGAUGGUCAUCUCAAUUUCUGGACUGGUAUUCUCCAGCUUGAGCCUUCGUUCACUUGGUUUCUUAUAUCUUUACACAUUACAUUUUCAUUAGCUUUCCUUCAGUCAACACUAUUUAACAUUAUAUAUAGCCAGAUAUACAUUUACCCAAACUUCCAUAAUUUUUUGUUUUCCAUUCUGUUAUAAAUCAUUAACAGUACAUCAACAUUAAACUGACUAAAUGUAACCCUUUAUUUUCUACCAUUCAGCAAUUUUCUUCAUAGUUUAAUAUUACAAUUAAGUAUAUAUGAAUCAUGGUAAUGAAUAAUUUAGGAUAACCUUUACUUUUUACUUGAGUAGGAAAGUUAUCGAGAAUAACAUAAUUGUAAUAGCAACGUUAUUGUCUUUUCCAAACAUGAGUUUUCAGGGGCCUUUUUGCUCAUAGUUUAGCAUCACACUUUUAAUUCGGUAGUUUUGCCAGUUGCAUUUUGAGGUGCUUUAUUCUGUUUAGGGCCUAGAUAUUUAAUUGUUUCCCAACAGCACAAUUUUCCUGCCUGUGUUUUGGCCUCUCUUCUAUUCUGGGCAUUUGUUCUCCACAAGGUUUCUAUCCUUAUUGUCUAAUCAGUUUGUUUCCUAAACUUUGUUUUUUUUCUGAGAAAUCACCACUGCUCACUUGGGAUUUUAUGCUAGUCUCAAAUAUUCUCUGUUUGAAAAAUGCUUUGAGAUCCUCAAAUGAGAGUUGUUGUAUAUACAUGUUAAAGUAUUGUUUAGUGGGUGUGUAACAAUUCCCUAGGUAGAAAUAAAGCAUUAUGUUGUUUGGGACUAGUGGUCAUAGUGCAUUCUCUUAACUGUUUAUUAAUUUUAGAAUGCUGGAUGAUUUAAUAUUCCACUUGAUUGUAGUUCCUUUUCAGACAAUAUUACUUCACUAGCACUUCACACUUUAGUGCCAUACAAAUUUGGCUAAGCAUUUUGAUACCCCAGGAGGCAACUCUGUAUUAUCCUCAAAAGAAGGGGAAACUGAGGCAAAGAGGUUUAAGUGACUUUCCUGACCUGUUAUACUUGGUUCACAGGACAAUAUUCCCCAUUUUUUCUUUGACUUACUCUUAUAAAGUCCUACAGAGACUAUAAAUGUCCUUGUUGAAGCAGUUCCAUUUCCAGUGUGGUACUGAUAUGAUCUUAUUGCCUUUUUUUCCCAGUUGAGAAUUCUUUGACUCACUGUUCUACUUUGCAUUGCAGCCAGCACAUGGAGUCUGAUAGACACAGGUAUCAGACGAGGAUGAGAUCCUACCUCAUAAACUCCAGGCCGCGCUUGUA